ensembl:misc_RNA Metazoa_SRP Metazoan signal recognition particle RNA
GCCGGGAACGGUGGCACAUGCCUGUAGUCCCAGCUACUCUGGAGGCUGAGACUGGAGGAUCACUUGAGCCCAGGAGUUCUGGGCUGUAGUGCGCUAUGCCGAUCGGGUGUCUGCACUAAGUUCGGCAUCAGUAUGGUGACUUCCUGGAAGUGGGGACCACCAGGUUGCCUAAGGAAGGAGUGAACCGGCCCAGGUCGGAAUCGGAGCCGUGCUGAUCAGUAGUGGGAUAGGGCCUGUGAAUAGCCACUGCACUCCAGCCUGGGCAACAUAGCGAGACCCUGUCUCGA